AGCUUUGCGCAGUGGCAGUAUAGUAGCCAAUGAGGCUUAUCCAAGGCGCGUUUAUUGCUAAUUGAAAACUUAAAAUAUGGAGAGAACCCCUGGGUAUUUACUAUACAGUUAGAUUAACUCUAUUUAGUUAGUCACAGAUACAAAAUUCUAUUGGAU
rnacentral:snRNA from 7 species